rnacentral:rRNA from 1 species
UGCCAGCCGCCGCGGUAAGACAGAGGGUGCAAGCGUUGUUCGGAAUCAUUGGGCGUAAAGGGCGUCUAGGCGGAAAACUAAGUCUGGUGUGAAAGCCCGGGGCUCAACCCCGGAAGUGCAUCGGAAACUGGUUUUCUUGAGUCUCGGAGAGGGUGGUGGAAUUCCUGGUGUAGAGGUGAAAUUCGUAGAUAUCAGGGGGAACAUCGGUGGCGAAGGCGACCACCUGGACGAUGACUGACGCUGAAGCGCGAAAGCGUGGGGAGCAAACAGGAUUAGAUA